UUGUGAGUGUUUGACUUCGUUUCAAGGCUUGCAACUCUUGUCUGAAAUGUCUGAAAUGCCUCUGGAGAAAAUAAAUAAAAUACUCCCAAAACCAAGGCUGCUUAAAAAGACACAUGAGACACAUCUGUAGCAUGAGCACCCAAUUUAUCCACCAAUCAGCUCACAUCCAAUCAAACAGUUGGUCUAAAUUAACCACAACAAGCAUGGUGGAAUGGAAACAACAGAAAGAACAAUGAAUGAAGCACUGUGUCACAUCUACGCUGGAGCAAGGAGAACGCAGGAGUCGAGGAGCAUAAUCAAACCUUCCUUUAAUGAAGCACAAACACAGGGAAACAGAGCACGGGAGUAAAACAAACAAUACCGGACAUCAGACACAGUGAAAACCAAGGCUUAAGAAUACAGGGGAAACAAACAAGGAGAACUGAAACAGAAUGAGGUCAGAGGGGACUAUGUGCCAUACUGCAUGAUCAUCUGGACGGAAUUCUGCAAGGAUGGAGUUCUAUCACACAACAGGCCCAGGGUGCAGAUGGAUCGAAAUGCGUCACGAUUCCAGACCGUGGCGGAUAAAUCCAGUUUGGACUCACCAAGGCGAAGCGGUUCACUUGCACGUACAGCACCUCCACUUCAGUGUUGGAGACCCGUGUGCCCUGUGAUUUG